rnacentral:misc_RNA from 1 species
GUGUGCAGACGAAAAUAUGCAUGUGAGUGCUAGAAAUUCGUAAAUUACAUUAUUUCAUUGACUGUUUUUGUUAAAAACACGUGAUGACAAGCUCAGCAAAUCUAUUCAUGGUGGUUUACGUGGCAAAUUGGCUUUCCUUUGUGGGAUAAUGCCAUUUUCAUUAGCUCUACUUUGAUUAGCGUAUGACAGGUGUUCGUGUAAAAUAAGCAAUUUUACCUAUUUCCUUCAUCAGUUUGGUAGCUGAAACAGCUACCAAUUUACUUCCACUAUGACAGUUUCCAGUAACAUAUGCUACUGAUUGGCUAAUAUUAGCCAAUCAGAUCUCUGGAGUUCCCCGCAGUGCGUUACAACUAUGACGCGGCAAAGACAUAUUUGGACAUAUCAUUUCUAUAUUGAUAUGCCUAUCUACACUGCAUUGGCCUUGCGUGGAUGUCAUCAAGUGAAAUAUUUUGGCUUAAGGUCAGUGAGACGCUAGUCGCUACUCUUCUAUACGCUAUGCCCUUUUUCAAUAUGAAUACGGUGUCGUGUUCUGACUGCAGACUCCUGAGUGUUAAUGGAAACAGACGACGCUGAGCUGGGGCCGGACGCAGCAGGCGACGGACGCUGUAGUGUGCUGGGCAAAAUAGUCCAAGAUGCUGGUAGCGGGUGAAAUACGCAGCUGCUCGUCGUCUCCAAGAGCGCCGCGGACGCCGUGGACUGCGCCAUCAAAGUCGACGGAAAGUCGGUUCCAGCAAUCGUCAGUGAUAUAUAAAAGUGAAAAGUUAAUAAAAUAUACAACUUUC